AGCCAUUGUGCUCAUGCAGUUUGAGCAAUAUUGGGUUUGUCCACUUUCUGCUCCAAACUAGAACAUCAGGGAUCUAUUCCCCACAAGGCUUGCUGGUCCUUUUUUUUCCUAAGCAAAUCUACUCUGUAUAGGAACAGAUCCAGGCUUCUGCUGUGAAAAGAAGCACUUGGCAUUUUCCUCCAGGAAUGACAUCCUACUGUGGAUGGUCUGCAAGUCUUCCCUAUGCUGCUGCUUUUCCUCUGAGAAUCGUAUUGCAGCUGCUGGCAAAGAGAAUAACAGGCUGUUUUUCUUGUGCAAUUCAACCAGUCCUUUUGAUCCUUUCAUGGGCCAGAUCUACAAAUGCAAUGAAUGGACUCUGCCAAGAGAAGGGUGCCUCCCCCUGAUUUCAUGUGCAUUCCUCAAGGUGAGCUGGAUAGAAAACAGCUGAUCAGAUUGGAGGACUUCAUGCAGCUGACAUUCAUUUGGAGCUGGACAAGGAGGUUUAUACAGAACACUGAGGUAUAUACAAAGUAGAGUCUCAUACCUACCAUUUUGAGGAGAGAAAGAAAGGGAGAAAGCUUAAACUAAAAUCUUCCUUCCUCUGCAACAGAGGAGACACUUAGUUUCCAUGCAGAAAUGAAGGCAAUGAUUUGCUUAGGCUUAUCUGUCAUUUUCUAAAUCUUUAUUAUGACACUGCUACUGUUUGAAGCAGAUAUUUCUUUGCAAAAUCCAUGCCAUUUUAUAUCAUAAGAACACAGCCAUUCUAUGUCAGAGCAAAAAAUGAUCUAUACUACUAUCCUGGUGUGACAGAGCUGAUACUAAAAAAAAAAAAAGUUUUAGAGCAUACAGUAAUAUUUAUUAUCUCAAUCUCCAGUGAUUUGCAGCUCAGAGACUUCCUUGACCACUGUUUUAUACUUGCAUUUAAUGCUUGUUGGUCAAGAGUUUUUUACCUCCUGACUUUAUUUAGUGCUAGGCAUGGCAGCACAGUGUUUGGCAUGCUGACCAUACCAUGGCAAUGAUUUCCAUAGCUCAAUGCAUCUUCUUUCGCUUGAACCUGAAAUGGGCUGUUUCAUUCUUUGCUUGUUUAAUGCCUCCACACUCAUUUUUUUUCAGAGUACUCCAGAUAACUGAAUCAGUGAAGCUUUUUGGGAAGGACAGUGAAGUACCUCAUGGAAAGUCUCAGGGACGCAGAAGGUUUGAGUACAGGGAAGAUGAACCAAGGGCUUUCAUAAGGCAGGGUAUCCCCAGGUAAUAAGCAUUGCAAUUGAGGAACAAGGACCUUGCACAGAAUAACAGAGAGACCAAAUCCCAUGAAUUCCAUGUCUGCACCAAGUAUUCAAGUAUAGUGAAUGCUGGGGAGAAGGAAAUUUGUCCAGGGCUGUAAAAAAUGGUGACAGCAUUUGGAAGACUUCCAAGAGAAAUGCAAGUACAGGAUAAUAUAUACUUAUUUAAGAUGUACUCCCAGUUCAGGUUUUGGGCAAACCUCUUUUUGCUGCAGGUGCAUGGUCGGUGAUCAGAAAGUUAAUGCAGCAAAGCACCUCUUAUUAUCUUUGGCUCUCUUAUUCUAACUGGCUGUCAUUCAGAGAAUAGGAAGCUUAACACUGCAUGGAGAAUUGUCCUCUCCACCUGUCAGUGAUUCAUUUCACACAUUCAGUCACUAGGGACUCUAAGAGAUUCUGGUUGUUUUUUUAUCCUGUCUCAAACUAGGACUUUCCGUCUGUAUUUUGUACUCACUUCCAAAUUAAUGCUCGUAGUCUGGGGGAGAUAAAAUCUUUAUUUGGAACCGAAGAUAUAUACAUUUGUUGUGUAUGAACCAAACAAUUUAUAGAUUUAAUUUUUUCAUGCAUGUUAUUAACCAUAUUAACACAAAUAAUCUUCAAGCAAGGUACAUACUUUUUCUAUAAUGUCUAAAGGAGAAAAAAAAAAGCAUAGAUUUUUUUAUACCCUCUCCCCAGUGGUGGUAUAAGCACAGAUUUCUUGUUUUUUUGACUGGCCAACCAAAGGUAGGACUAAGGAUUAAACCAAUGAUGUUACUUCUUUUGCCCACAGUACAUGAUGGACAACACUUUAUAACAACACUUUCUCUGAGAAAUCUUAGAGUGAGAAGAACAUCUUUGUUGACCUUGGUACAACUGAGAUCCUCAGGAAAUCUCAGUUCUGAGAAAGCAGGAGGUCUCCAAGCUGCAGGUAAGCAUUUUUUUUUUAAUGUUGUUUCCAACCCCUCCUAUUCAAGUUUCCUGUGUUGAUCAGAGGCUUUACUUAAUUUUUUUAACAGGAUUUGUAAAAGAGCAAAAUAUUUGGGAAUAAAGGUAAGAAGAGAAAGGUGGCUGAGAUCCAAAAUGAAAAGAAUAAUGUUAUUGGUGAGAAAGUAGUUGGAAAGGAAGAAAAAGAAGCAAUUCACUGUCUAAUUGAGAGAAUUAGACAGUAUCUAAGUGAGAGAAGGAGAGAACAGGAAUUUGAAUGGGGAAACAUCUAAAAGAUUUGAGGAAGGAGAAAUGGAGGUGAUAAGGUGUUAUGGACCCAGUAUACUGGAAGUGGAUUUAUUGGUGCACUAGCAGGGACUCGAAUGAAUAAAGCAUUGAAGAGAAAUGAGAAGGGGAAUAGGGCAGAAAAGGACAGAGAAUAGUCUUUAAAUAAAAGAAAGUCUGUCUCUGAAGUAAUAGGGAAGAGAAGCAAGGAAACAAAUAUUGAGGAAAGGCGGCUGGAAAAUGUAGAAAUUCAGAGACUGGCAUUUUACCCAGAGCCUGAGUUUGAUAAGAAUGGAGAUGAUACAUGAUGCCACAUAAAAGCCAAAACCCCAUAAAUGUUUAAGGAUCAGCACCCUAAAAGAAAGAGCUUAGGUCAGUGUGCCACAGGCACUGCUCUAGAGAAGAAAGUUAACUAAUAACUUAAAUAUAUGUCCAUAAUAUGUGUAAAAAAACACUGUUCUAUCAUGGGGAAUUUCCAUCUGAGUAUCUUGUACCGCUAGUCUCAUGCUGCCAGUAAUAAAAUGUCCUUGGAAUUUUUAAAUGUUACAGAUGACAGUUUCUUAAAUCAAAAUGUGCUGUAUCCAGCUCUGGGGACUUUUAUAUUAGACUAUAUCUUGACAGACAAAGAGGGAUUCAUUAGUAGACCAAGU